AUGGAUGAUACCAAUGUGAGUGAUCAUGAGCCUAUAUUUAAUUCAUCUGCGACAGAAUCUGCUAGUGUUGAUGAGGAGCCGGUUAUUACUGUGGAUAUUUAUGAUCCAAGCAAUUGGGGUAGUCUUGAUAACAAAGCAAGGGACAUAUUAGUGGAAAAGGGGCCUAAAGGGAAAGAAGAAAACACUAAAUAUCCUUUGGAUGAAACUUUAAGAUAUUUUUCGUAUAGCCAUUACUCAAGAAAAAUGAGCAAUGGAGAGGUGCGUGAUAGAAGAUGGUUAGUUUUUUCAAAACACGCAAAGAAAGUGUUUUGUUUUUGCUGUAAGCUUUUCAAUUCUGAUAAAUGCAAGAGUGCAUUGGGGCAUGAUGGGUUUUGUGAUUGGCAGCAUAUUAGUGAUAUUAGUGAGAGACUGAAAGAACAUGAAGCUACUGUUGACCACAUUACCAACAUGAACUCUUGGAAUGAAAUGAAAAUUAGAUUGAACAAGCAUGACGAUUACUAG
rnacentral:rRNA from 1 species